AGUGAACGCUGGCGGUAGGCCUAACACAUGCAAGUCGAACGGCAGCACAGUAAGAGCUUGCUCUUACGGGUGGCGAGUGGCGGACGGGUGAGGAAUACAUCGGAAUCUACUUUUUCGUGGGGGAUAACGUAGGGAAACUUACGCUAAUACCGCAUACGACCUACGGGUGAAAGCAGGGGAUCUUCGGACCUUGCGCGAUUGAAUGAGCCGAUGUCGGAUUAGCUAGUUGGCGGGGUAAAGGCCCACCAAGGCGACGAUCCGUAGCUGGUCUGAGAGGAUGAUCAGCCACACUGGAACUGAGACACGGUCCAGACUCCUACGGGAGGCAGCGGUGGGGAAUAUUGGACAAAGGGCGCAAGCCUGAUCCAGCCAUACCGCGUGGGUGAAGAAGGCCUUCGGGUUGUAAAGCCCUUUUGUUGGGAAAGAAAAGCAGCAGGUUAAUACCCCGCUGUUCUGACGGUACCCAAAGAAUAAGCACCGGCUAACUUCGUG
rnacentral:rRNA from 1 species